CUCGUAGGCGGUUCGUCGCGUCCGGUGUGAAAGUCCAUCGCUUAACGGUGGAUCCGCGCCGGGUACGGGCGGGCUUGAGUGCGGUAGGGGAGACUGGAAUUCCCGGUGUAACGGUGGAAUGUGUAGAUAUCGGGAAGGACACCAAUGGCGAAGGCAGGUCUCUGGGCCGUUACUAACGCUGAGGAGCGAAAGCGUGGGGAGCGAACA
rnacentral:rRNA from 1 species